CGCCCACGCGCGGGAGAGUUCCGUGGCCGCCAGUCACGGACGCCGAAGGAGCAACACCUCUCCGUCAACCUCUCAGGCACCCGGACCGCGCCUGGCCC
rnacentral:ncRNA from 2 species